UAGAGUAUAGUUAAAAUAGAAUUAGCAGUAAUGUAGCACUGUUACAUUCAUGAUGUGAAAAUCAAGCUUAGUCAAGCCAUAGGAUGAUCCAUAAAAAAAAAUUUUUGGAUUUUAUCUCACCGCUGGCCGGGCAUUUAAAAUGAUAAUUAAAGACGGACGGGCGGGCGCAAUAACCGUGGUUGCUAUGGCAACACAUGUUGCACCAUUUUAUUCCUUGUUGUAUGGGCAUGGGCAUUCUAUUGGUAUAUGGUUGCUGCUAGGUAUUUUAUUGCACUGGAAACCCGAUAGAGACAUUUCACUUCACUGUUAAUUAAGAAUCCGACUAUUUGAUGUUGCAUAUCUCACUGCAAAAAAGUUACCUGCUUCCUAUCAAUUCCCACUACAAAGUACUUUACUACUACAACCACUCAUUGCAUGAUUGUUUGAUAACAAAACCACGAGGUAUGUUUUGGCCUGCGCAAAACCAUAUUGUUGCAGUCACAGCUACAUCACAAAACGUUCUUAUAAUUCAAGUCAAAAACAGGAAGUCAAAAACAGGAAGUUCAAAAAUUAAUACCUAUUUUUCGCUCGUGAAGGAACUCACGUGUCAAAAGCUCACUGCGAAGAAGAGCUCACAUUUGUGAUCAAAGCGUUGUCAAUAAACCCGGCAGUAAGGCUUCAGCACGUUCCAAUACCCUAUCGGUAGCACUUCGUAUAUCCACUCUGCAGGAAAAACAGAACAACAGAAACAAUUUUCUUUCUCUUUCUUUACUUGGCCCGCCAUGUGGCCCGCUUAUUGGCUCAGUUACUGGCUCAGUCAGAUUGUGUCCCAGCUAGAAUUGCCCUUGUGCGCAUGUCCCGCCUAUUGUCCCGGCUCGCCUAUUGCCUCGCCAAAACGCGGCCAAUACGUGUCCUAUCAUUGUUUCAGCUGAUAAUUUAGACUACCAGCAAAGUGGGCAACCAAAGUAUUGGCUGGUACAACAAAUUCCUAAGAACACAAACAGCCUACAUGUACCCUUCAUACUCAACACGUUCUCCUCAUAAACAUAAAACCCAAACUCUAAACUUUAGAUGGGGUAGAACUGGGGUUGAAACCCGAGGCACAACACACUAUUACUACAGCCGCACAGAUACAAGUAACUGAUAUGCAAACCAUAAGUUAAAAACGGAAGAAAUAGGUGAAAUCUGCGAGCAAUACAAUCCAGAUUCACAAGUUGGUAUCCAGCAGUAGUACUAUUGUUUGUCACAGAAUGUACCUUCUCCCGAGAAAACCUCAAUAAUUUAAUAAUUAUAAAGUUACAACUCUACUCAGCAUCAUUAAUGAUAUCUACACAGACUGUCUGGUAAGAAAACACACGCUACCUACGAGAGAUUACACUCAAUCAGAGGGAAUGAAAGCAAAUGGCUCAUCAUCUUUCCAGGUGAUUGGCAUUUCUUAAUUAAAGAAUUAUCAGGAGGUAUUAUCAGGAGGUAUUGAUCUGAUCAAGAUAUACUUCGAUGCAGAUCCUAGUGGCGUACUAACUUCAAACGUACUCACCUGUACAGAGUCCUGUUGAGAUAAACAUUCCUCGUUCAGAGGACCACCUAUUGAUAAAAACAAUUAAAGAGGUAGUGAUGCAUCUGACUUCGAAAGCAGAACAGAAUCCCACCCUCAAGUGAAUCCCACCCUCAAGUGAAUCCCACUCAAGUGAAUCUCAAGUGAAUCCCACCCUCAAGUUUUGGUUGCAAUUUUUGUUCAAAGAUUGUCGUAGCAUAAUUAUCUUAUCUUGCGAAUGGCAGCUAUAAAAUUAAUGGGACCCAGCCUUUGACCGGCCCAAGUACACUUGAACUCAUGUACUACAUCUUUGGUUAUAACUGUGUAUCAGUAUUGAUUUUAUUUCACUUACUACACAUUGUACAUGCGAAAAACCACAUACCGUAUAGCGUGUAAUUUUCGUGGGGCAAAAUAUUCGUGGUUUUUGUGGUUGGAGGUAUAAUACUUUACCCACGAAUGAAGCGACCUUGCCUACCUUUACCUGCAGUGCAAGCUCCAACCACGAAAAAUAUUACCACGAAAUGUCUCAAUAAUUUUAUUGCUGAACGUUUUGUCCCCCGAAAAUUACCCGCUAUACGGUACUAUUUUAAACCUGCAUGCUUUUAAACCUGCAUGGAUAGACCUACCUGUACAACAUCAACCACCUGAAAACUUGUGAUCUACUGAUUUUGCAGAAGCAGGAGUAAAGACACCUAAACACACUUGUUCUACACACAACUUUGUUCCAGUGUGAUUACACUCCACAAACCUAUAGCUGGGAUGAUGCCCUUCCAGUUUGUGGUGUGUUUUUUACCAUAUGAGCUGCCUCAAACUCAAGCCCUCUUUUUCAUUUACGUGGACUUUCGGUGCCGACUGCAAGAAUUCCUUAGACCUGAGAUGUGCUAGCUUGCUACCUAGAUAUAAAUAUAAAUUUAUUACUCACGCGAAAGGGGACAAGAUGACAAAAGCUGCCUGGGUCAGUGUAUACUUCCGCCACUCAACCUAAAUCCUAAAUCCUAAAUCCUAAAGAAGGGAGACCAGUCUAGUGUCGCCUAAAUCCUAGUGUUGCAAGCGCGUCCUAGAUGCACAAUAGUGAUCCAAUGUGCGCAUGUCAUACCUAAUGUUGACAAAGUAGAUAUGCGCAUCAGUCACCUCGUGGCCUGUAAUGCAGUUGACAAGUCAAGCUCUCUGUGUAUUGAACCUGAACGUUCGAACCUCUCUCAGCAAUAUUGAACCACUCUAGGCAGCAUGGUCGAAGUCACUCUAAAGAGAGAAUUGAGGUCCAGGCAUCUCUCGUCACUUCCGAAGCUCUGAGGAGAACCUUUCGCGUGAGUAAUACUGGUCUAAGAUAUAAUUACAUAGACCUGCCAUGUAUAAAUUCUUGUACGUUUGGGCUUGUCCAGCGUACGACUCUGGAUGCCAGGCGAAGUAGAUUAGUAGUUUCUCAUCACCCCCCUUGUGACUUUUAGCCUUCCCCGGUUGGUCUCGAUUUAACCGUGUCAAAACAUGCAGCUGAAUCAGCACUUUUGUCUAGCCUUAAAUCGUAUACCUGCUGCAUUAAGCAUUAAGAUAGGAUUGCAGCAACCACUCAACGUUUGGGUGCUUCUUGGUGCUUCUUGGUAUAACUAUUCCUUGCAUUACGUCAUACUAUUACACUGUGUACUACAUCAUCAGCACAGGGCCAGAAGUGGUAGUUUACAGCUUGUAAACUAUGUUUGUACUUGCGAGUGUACAUCAUAGUUUACAAUGUUGUUGAAUUUUAGUUCAUCUACAAUAGUUUCCUUCAUAGUUUACAAAGAAAGUUGAUAGUGUACAACGUUGUAUACUUCUAUAAAUGAACUGUUUUGGCCCUGUGCAGGUAAUGUAUACUGUAUAUUAACGGGUAAUGCUGGUAACAUAGGUAAUGUAGGUGGUAACAGGUAGGUAACGCUGGUAAUACUGGUAAGGUAGGUAACACGGGUAAUGUAGGUAACACGGGUAAUGUAGGUAACACGGGUAAUGCUGGUAAUGUAGGUAACACGGGUAAUGCUGGUAAUGUAGGUAACACUGGUAAUGUAGGUAAUGCUGGUAAUGUAUGUAGGUAAGGUUGUAUGUAGGUAAGGUAGGUAAUGCUGGUAAUGUAGGUAACAGUAAUGCUGGUAAUGUAAGAUUAAGAUUAGUAUAGCUGGUAAUGUGCUGGUAAUGUAGGUAAGGUAGGUAAUGCUGGUAAGGUAGGUAAUGCUGGUAAUGCUGGUAAUGUAGGUAACUCGGGUAAUGUAGCUGGUAAUGUAGGUAACACGGGUAAUGUAGGUAAUGCUGGUAAUGGUAAUGUAACACAGGUAAUGUAGGUAACAUAGGUAAUGUAGGUAAUGUAGGUAACACGUGUAUAUAAUAAGUAAUGUAUUAUAAAAUGCAGUAAUGCAUGUAUAAUAUAGCUACGCAUUAUAUAGGUAGGUAUUUUGUAACAGUGGUAAUAAUUAGCGGUUGCAAUAAUGUGAUGAACACAAUUUGAAACGACACUCGACACUCUCCUUAUAGUGACAAAGAGCACCGACUUACUCGUUUUCGUUUAUAAGGAGAUCAAAGUAACUAUAGUCGCCAUCAAAUUAAUGUAUCCAGCAGCAAUUGCACACUAAUUAUAAUGACUGUAACACUUACUUAAUUCUAAUUAUAAAUGUGUUACCCAUGUUACCUAUACAUUACCUACGUUACCUAUAUUACCUAUGUUACCUACCUAUCGUGUUACCUAUCGUGUUACCACAUGUUACCUACAUUACCUACCUUACCAGUGUUACCUACAUUACCCGUGUUACCUACAUUACUUACCUUAUAAUUCUUACCUUAUAAUUUAUGAUACCUACAUUACCAGUGUUACCUACGUUACCAGUGUUACCCACAUUACCUAUGUUACCUACCUUACCAGUGUUACCUACAUUACCAGUGUUACCAACAUUACCAGUGUUACCUACAUUACCAACAUUACCUACAUAUUACCUAUGUUACCUACCUUACCUACAUUACCAUGCAGUGUUACCUACAUUACCCGUGUUACCUACAUUACUUAUGUUACCUACCUUACCUUUCCAGUGUUACCUACAUUACCUGUGUUACCUACAAAAUUACCAGCAUUACCCCUACAUUACCAGUGUUACCUACAUUACCUACGUUACCUACCUUACCAGUGUUACCUACAUUACCUACAUUACCAGCAUUACCUACAUUACCUACCUUACCAGUGUUACCUACCUUACCAGUGUUACCUACAUUACCUACAUUACCGUACAUUAAUAGGCUUAUGAUGUAAUACACAUUAGUCUAGUAUGAUGUAAUGCAAGGAAUAGUUAUACCAAGAAGCCCCCCAAAGUUUCAAGUUUCUGUUCAAAUUGUGUCUGGGUAUUGUUAGUUACUAGAGGAGGAUAGCAAAUUUUCAUGCUUUUACCUAUGAGGUGACCAGCCUCCUCCAGCGUUCCCCCUUAAAAAGUUAUUUUGGGGUUGUGGAGCGACCCAUAUGCCACAACGUAGUCUAAGUUACACCCAUCAUUCGCACACUGUCAAACCGGAAUUAUUUAAGAGACUUAGGACAUUGGAGGUUUAAAGGCCCCCCCAGGAUAAUUAUAAUAAUUAUAUUAUGCUGAUCCGAAUGAUGUAUGGCUGAGAGGUGACCUGGACAAUAAGGUCCAAAUGAAUCUGGCGCAUUUGUGAUACGGAGCUGUUCUUGUUGAAGGCCGAACAACAACAGUGUCAAGUACUGCCCAGUCUAAUGUAUCUGGUGCCUCUUCUGCCUACCAUAGUAACCCUCCACCACCUUAUCCUGAAGGCAGAAAUGUCAACUUCUCGAACAGGAAAAGUUGAUUUUGAACACACCGAAACUACUGCUAACGUAUAAGAGAGGACAUUCGUUACCCUCAAUGGUCUACAAUUGGAGGAUUGUGAAGGGACACGAGUUAUGUUGUCCAAAUGCUGUGUGAGAGCUGUGUCAAUCAAUGGUACUCUGGAGAUGAUGCACUUACGAAAAUGUGUACGAAAAUGUGAAAAUGUGUCCCAAUUGUCGUGUUGAGUUGAACGAGGGUAAAUGCCUUCUUGAUUGAAACUAAAGAGGUUAUUCAGUUAAGGUCUCAGCCUCAGGUGGCACCUCGCGAGUAAUUGACUAUUUCGUAUUUAGACUAUUGAGACUAUUAUGUACGUAUACACCAAGAGUGUUCAUGCACUUAAUGAUGUUAUCAUCAUUAUGUACGUAUAUAUAGAGUGUUCAUGCACUUGUCAAUAACAAUGCUAAACUGGUAAUUGUCGUUAUUUACAUGCAUGUAAAGGGAGCCUUUCAUAUGCAUCUCGUAGUGAUAUGCAUCUCGUAGUGGGCGUGAUCAUUUAGACACCGGCAGUAUCAAGAUGGAGGACUUUGUAACUAAGAAAGUUAAAACAGAAAAGUGGACCCACAAACAAAUCAGUGCUGUAAUCAUUCCAUGAUGAAGGGAGUUUAAUCAGAAAAGGCGCAGCCUUCGUUUGCUAUUAUUGAUACUAUAGAAUUUCCUCAUAAAUGAACACCUUAACAACAAAUGUUCAUUAACAAGCAAUAUAAUUAUGCAAACAAAUUUUGACAUACAGGUACACAAAGUCACACACCAAAUCUUCACUAACAUCAAAUUAUGCUCCUAAAGACAAAAAUGCUGGUACAUACAUUCAAAUAGAAGUACACAAAAAAUAGAAGUACACAAAAUAGAAGUACACAAACUUGUAAAAGAGUGAAACAUUUUCCCUACCAGAUAGUAAGAAGUAUAGCUGUGCUAGCACUGUGUAUUUACCUCACUAAGCUCCAACUUUCGUUUGAAAAAUAUUUUGAACAUAGGUACCCACGUGUGUCACUGCUUUAGCACAGUUUAAAACUAUCACAGGCGUCAGUACGCGUCAGUAUUCGUGUAUUUAUGCUCUUUUUUAUUCCCGGUAAAAGCACGCAAGCGAAACACGGAUCAAGAAAAGGGUGCUAUACAUGGUUCAAUGUAGCGUCAUCAACCACACGCCAAUCCCUCUAUUCUCUAUCUAUGAUUAAAACGAGCAUGCUCACCCGCUAUUUCCAGGCUAUUACAGGUAGUAGUUGUGUGAUCAAGUAAUCAAUUGGUAAGCAGUCAUUCUACGAACCUUGGGCAACGAAAUGCUUUUAGAGGCCAUCCACGAAAUAUAAGUGCCUCAAACAUAAACAAACAUAAACAACCUGCAAGGAAACAUGAGUUGUGCUGUUAUGCCUACUGUAUACACACAGUGGCAAAUCCAGAGCAGGGCACAAGGGGCACGUGCCCCCCCCAUUUCUGACCAGCUUGAAUAAAACUAGCUCACAAAGUAGGUGUGGCUUAGAGCAGAAAUCAAUUAUUGCAUGCAGCAAUUAUUGCAUGCAGCUGAAGAGCAAGAUGAGUCCAUCCAUUCUGCUAUCUCUUGCUACUAUGUAUGUCAUACUGUCAUCAAUCAAUCCAUGAUCAGAAAAGCUACACUGAUUGAGCUUAAAAAAAAACUGUUGACCUUGAGUGAGCCAGUUCUAAUUCAUUCUUAGUACACAUUUUGGUAACUCAAUUAACUUUCAUUAGAGAACUUCUAAUUAUACAAAAACAAAAUCGAAAAUAAGUGGGAGAGUAAUAUGAACGACCAUGACCUAAGUAGUCAAAUGACCUAAGUAGUCAAGCGUCAACAUAAACCGCCGGCAUAGUUUAGAGUCAGUCAGUGCUAGGGAGCAAAACUGCGACUUUGCUUGCAGGUCUUCUGUACGUUCCGGUACCUCAUAUUGAGGGUGAUGGCACUGCUGAACAGAACCACUGUAAUCUCGACUUCGUCUUUCUGUCUGAAACUGAUCUGUACGACAGUUGAGGAUCAGGUAUGCAGGUAAGAGGCUUGCCGACUAAGAAAUGACCAGGUGUCAGAGCGGUGAUACCAUCAUCAUCAAGUGAAUUCACAGGACGGCUAUUGAGACAUGCCUCAAUUUGGGCAAGUACGGUCGUAAACUCUUCAAAUGUCAAUCUAGUGGUUUUUACAGCAGAUUCCCAUAUACCACCGAAAUGAGGGGAUCUUUCAGGGAUGUAUUUCCGUGAGAACUGCUUAUCACGCCUUGCGUCUUCUGACUGGAUAGGAAGUCCUGGAGAGUCUUCAGCUCAUGCUUUGCUCCUACAAAGUUAGAUCAAGGUGGGACAACGGCAGCAACAAAUGCUUCUGUAGUCAGAUCGGACACAAGUUCUAGAUGAACUGCUUUAACAACAAGACACACGAACAGGCAUAUGUAAGUCUUAAUCACAGUGGGUUUCCUCACGUGCAUAGUUUACUCCCGUCUUCUCGAAUGGAGGUGCUGGAGUGACGCGUUCAGUGGGCAACUGCCCUAGUAACUGCUUAACCGUGUGACGUCGAUGAUGCACCUUCUUGUUAUAGAUCGGACAGUCUUUCGUGCGCCAACAAUAUGAAAUCUUUGAUUUAGUGACGACAGAAGAAGGGUAGGACCAGCAUGCAUCAAACAUAGAUGUGGUCAAGACAUGUUUACCAUCCAGAAUCACAGGAUGUGACUGACUGUAGGUGAGAUUAGAAUUACGUAGCACUGAAUUGUCUGGAGGACGAAAUGGUUGUAGUUUACUGUUCUUAGCGAGAGGUUGCAUUUUCUUCACCGCUUCAACUUCUGUCGGAAAACUCUCUCUCUGGCCAACCAUCGACCAGUAGUGUUCAGCUGUAUUGAGUUCUGAAGCAGUAAGAUGAGAUAGCGAGGAACGAGUGUUGUUGAUAAAACGAAAAAUCCAAGCUGUUACUCUUUUGAGAUGAGUGAAACUGGAGAAUUGAUCAACGGGAAUGAUUGGCUGGUCGCAGUCAUCUGAGAGGACAGUCGUUGCAUUGCAGAUUUCUCUUUCUUCCACAUCGAUAGGUUCGGGCAUCAAAAUUGUUUGUUUUGGCCAAUUGUUUGUUUUGCCCAGAGAUCUGAGUUGGAUCGUAGCCAGUCCGGUCCCUGCCACCAGAGAUUGUGAUCUUUCAACUGCAACGGGAAUAGACCCCUUGAGGCACAAUCAGCUGGGUUUUGAAUGCCUGGAACAUGUCUCCAUCUAUCAGGGGAAAUCUGGUCGAUAAUGAAGGAGAUUCGAUUCCCGACGUAGGUUUUAUGGGUGUGUAGCAACAAGGGAUGUGUAUUUUCGCUAGGGUAGGCAGCCAUAUUUCCAGGACAUGGUUGGGAACAGGAUCAUCCCAGUCCAUUUUGAUCUCCCACAGGCGUUGAAGGAGGAUUUUCAUCUUGAUUAUCACUGGCGAAAAGAAACCCAAAGCAUCGAAUACUUUGGCAACGUCAGACACGAGGCUCCUCUUGGUCAUCUUGUGGUGUUUCGGCGAUGGCGAUUCGAAAUUGAUUUGUGACUACAUUCCAUUCAAUGCCAAGUGCGUUGCAAUACUCAUCGGCUUCCGGAAAGGCUUGUACUUCUCGUGAGUCUCUAAGGGCUUCUGGAAUCUGCUUCAAGAUUGAGUGAUCGUUCAAAUUCCACUUCCUUAAUACAAAACCGCCACGUGCAAACAUUUCAGUGAGUUCUCGUUGAAGAGUAAGGCUGACUUUGAGUCAAAUGCACCUGUCAAGCAAUUGUCAACGUAAAAGGACUUGUUAACGAGCCAUGGGAUACUCUUGAGAGAAGUCGUUGGCAUUUUGUUUUACAGCCAUGUUUGCUGCAAAUGACGAAGCAGACACACCAAAUGUUACUCGAGUCAUAUGGUAGUCCUUCAGAGGUUCUUUAGGGUGAGAUCUCCACACAAGUAAGUCCUUAUCGGUGUGAGU